rnacentral:rRNA from 1 species
UACGUAGGGUGCGAGCGUUAAUCGGAAUUACUGGGCGUAAAGCGUACGCAGGCGGUCUGUUAAGACCGAUGUGAAAUCCCCGGGCUUAACCUGGGAACUGCAUUGGUGACUGGCAGGCUUUGAGUGUGGCAGAGGGAGGUAGAAUUCCACGUGUAGCAGUGAAAUGCGUAGAGAUGUGGAGGAAUACCGAUGGCGAAGGCAGCCUCCUGGGCCAACACUGACCGCUCAUGCACGAAAGCGUGGGGAGCAAACAGGA